rnacentral:pre_miRNA from 15 species
AGUGUCCACCCGCCAUGGGGGCUCUGGGCAGGAUAUCAUCGUAUACUGUAAGUUUGCUAUGAGACACUACAGUAUAGAUGAUGUACUAUCCUGAGCUUCACCCCUCAGCCAGGAGCU